UAUCAAAAUUAAAACUUUAUAUUUAAUAAUAAAAACAUUACAACAUUAAUCAUCCUAGUUUUUCUUCAUUUUCUUCUCCUUUGCGCGCUUAUUAUUUUUUCUUUGUUUUUCACAACAAUGUUAAUUAUCCUAGUUUUUCUCUAUUUUCUUCUCCUCUGCACGCUUAUUAUUUUUUCUUUGUCUUUUUGCAACAAUGUUAAUCAUUCUAAUUUUUCUUCAUUUUCUUCUCCUUUCCGCGCUUAUUGUUUUUUCUUU
rnacentral:lncRNA from 1 species